rnacentral:lncRNA from 12 species
CUACCUAGCAGCUUAAAAAAAAAGAGAUUUAUUUGUUUAUUUGAGAGAGGGGCAGUAGGAGAAGGACAGGGGGAGGGGGAGAGAGAAUCUCAAGCUGACUCCCCACUGAGGGUGGAGCCUGAGUGUGGAGCCUUGGGGCAUGGUCCCAUGACCCUGAGAUCCUGACCUGAACCAAAAUCAAGAGUCAGAUGCUUAACCAACUGAGCCACUCCUGGAGCCCUUACCUAGGAGCUUUUUGGUACCUGUUUCAACAUGGAUUUUGGCACUGCAAACUCAAUUCUUCAAUGGAUUUGAAACAAGUUGGCAAUUUAAAGUUAACUUGGUUAUUUCUCAUUGUAAAAGUUGUAGCAACAUUUCUUCAAGAUCUUUGCAUGACAGAGUGAAAGCUAUAAACCUUCUUGCUUUUUUCUAUUUUAUUGUUGUUGUUGUUUUUUGUUGUUGUGGUUUGUUUACCUCUUUUUCUCAUUCUCUUCUUCUUCCUCCCUCCUCCUCUUUCUUUCUCUCUCUCUUUCUUUCUUUCUUUCUUUCUUUCUUUCUUUCUUUCUUUCUUUCUUUCUUCUUUCUUUCUUUCUUUCUUUCUUUCUUUCUUUCUUUCUUUCUUUCUUUCUUUCUUUCUUCUUCUUUUUGCCAUAUGAUGAUACAUGGCAAUUCUAUAUACACUAAUAAUUAUUUUUAAAAUUUUACUCUUAUUUGAGAGCUGGAAAAGUAUUGGCUAGAAAAUUAUUGUCUGUUUCUUGGAGUAAUUAUUCUUUUAUAAUAUAUAUUUUAUUUGACUUUUACUUGUCUUUUUUGGAGAAGUUUGGAAGUGGAAAUAUGUAUGCAUACUUCCUAUGUUGAUUGCUUUCAGAUUCUUAUUUAUCCAUGAAAGGGAACAAUUACAUCUGGCCCAUAUAUUUGCUUAGGAAUAAUGUGAGAGAGGUCAUCUGAACAGGAAGAAGACCACUGUUUCUUUUUUUUAAGAUUUUAUUUAUUCAUGAGAUACAUAGAGAAAGAGGCAGAGACACAAACAGAGGGAGAAGCAGACUCCUCCCAAGGAGUCCAAGGUGGGACCCAAUCCCUAACCCCAGGAUCAAGUCCUAGGCCAAAGGCAGAUGCUCAACCGCUGAGCCAUCCAGGCAUCCCAAGACCACUGUUUCUGAACUUAGGGUUGCUGAAUUCUACCCCUGAAAGUAAUAAUAUACUAUAUGUUGACUGAACUGAAUUUAAAUAAAAAGUAAAAAAAAAUCGUCUCA